AGGACGAACGCUGGCGGCGUGCCUAACACAUGCAAGUCGAACGAGGUCCAUCCGGUGGCAACACUGGUGAAGAUCGAGUGGCGAACGGGUGAGUAACACGUGAGCAACCUACCCCGAAGACCGGGACAACACCGGGAAACCGGUGCUAAUACCGGAUGCCCCCACGAGCCCGCAUGGGUUUNUGAGGAAAGGAUUACCGCUUCGGGAGGGACUCGCGGCCUAUCAGCUUGUUGGUGGGGUNAUGGCCCACCAAGGCGACGACGGGUAGCUGGUCUGAGAGGACGAUCAGCCACACUGGGACUGAGACACGGCCCAGACUCCUACGGGAGGCAGC
rnacentral:rRNA from 1 species